UUCUUACCACAUAAAUUUCGCACAAUACUCUUCUAUCAAUUCAAUCCUUCUCUUUCUAAAUUCUAGCCAUUGUUUUGCAGAACGAAUUCUCCCCAAAAUCUUGUUUUCUCUGAAAAAAAAAAAGGUCGUCCUUCUACCAUUAUUCGCUUUUGCCUUUAGCCUAAUUCGUAUUUUCUCGUCAUCAAUAGUGGAGAAGAAAAUUCUAGAAGUUGCAACAAUUAUUUUGGAUGAAAAUCUAGCUGGGUUCGUCUUCCUUUAGCUCCAUAUAAGGUAUGUUCUCGUUUCUGUACAUGCAUGAAAAUAUAUCUACGUUUACAUAUUCAUGGUUCAUGAGGUUGAAGGUCAUGAAUUUUCGCUGUUUCGAAGCUGGUGAGGAAUCAACUAUCAUCAUUCAUAGCCAACUUCAACAAUUUCAAAUCACUAUUUCACUCCAUUUUUCAUUCACUGUAGAAGAAAAUGAAAUUGCACUGGACGCAGAAAAAAAUGUUAAUAGAGGGUGAAAAUUAUAUAGAUGUGUACAUACACAUUUAGAGACAUACAUGUUUACGUGUGUGAGGAAAGGGGAUUACUUUUCUUUGUAUAGAAUAUAUUUUAUUUAAUUAGUAUAUAAUAAUAAAAUAGUAUCUGCCUUUACUAUAAGAGAGGAGAUUGUCCAAGUUAUUGUUUAUGUUUGGCACAAUUUCACACGUAACAAGUUUCUUCCUUUAGUAUGUAGACUAGAGAUAUUUUUUUCUUAUUCUUAUCUAAUAUGAAAAUUAUUUAAGUUGAAAACGCCCAACUUUGUAUGAACUUUAAAAAUUCUUUAAAAUAUAUGUGUUGGAGACAUGUAGUUUUAUAUUAACUUUAAAGAUGAAUAAAAUUUGAAUUGAAGGCGCCGUGUAGUAUUUAGUGCCAUGCCUUGAUUUUUUAUAAAUUGAUAGAUGACUGUGGUAGAUAGAAGUCUUGUCUAAGUUAAAUAGUUAUAAUGGAAGUGUAUUUAUAGGGAAAUUUAUUCUGUAGGUUGCUUUGAAUUAGAAUUUCGAAUAUUCCAAGAGAGAAGCUCGAGUACCAUACUUUUUCAUUGAAAAAGAUACUUUGUUAGAGCUUAUUAAGGCAGAAAUUCAUAGAUGGAAAUCUUUUAUUACUUGCUGCCCGAAUUCUUUUGUGCAUUUCCAGUCGUCCACUUAUGAAUUUAUUAAGUUUAUGAUUGUUGAUAAAUUACUUACAUUAUAACUUUAGAAAUAGAUUGCAUAUGUAGGUUGAUUGGGUGGAAGCAAAACCACUAAAUUUAUAGAUGAAAAAUAUUUUCUUUUUAGAAGUCUUUAUUUUCUCACUCUUCGGUAGUAGUAUAGCAAAAACUUUUACAACAUUACAAUAGUAUUUAUGUUUUUUUUUUAAAAACUAUUAAUUUUACAAGAAUCAUAUAAAAAUGUUAAUCUUUUAUUCCUGCUUUUACAUCAUAUAAGUCUUAUUAAAAUUUUAUUUCAUCAAUAGUUCAGUCAACAAUGUUUAUAUUUAUUGCUAUUGCUUUGAAGUAAACAAUUUUUUUUAUUAAACUUCAGCUUUAUGCAUGUUUUUAAUGUUGUGAGAGUCUGGUUCACUUGUGUCUAUCGAAUAUUUUUCCUAUUGUGGAAACUUAGUAGUAUUAUUAAUUUUUUAAUUAUUUCAUUCACUAAAAUGAAAAUUCUUUGCUUUCGUUAAACUAGAGGUGAAGAUAUUUUCCCCAUGGAUUCUUCGAACAUUGAUAGUACUUCUCAAAAUGCAAUUGAAUCGUAUACUGCUUUUAUUCGCCAACAACAAAACCAAAGACAGGCGAAUAGGAGGAAUCGAAUUCAAAGUCCACGUGUUGAUCGUCGUAAAAGAAUAAAUAAUUCCACGUUGCAUCCUAAUUUUCAGGCUUCUACUUCAAAUCAAGCACGUACUAAUAUUGUUCAUUCUAAAGUACAAGGGAUUUCUAACCUAUUAAACAUACCUACUAAUGCAUAUGUAUUACCGACAUGGAACUAUUGUGAACAUUGUGGUGCACGAAAAUUUUAUAGAGAAACUAAAGGGUUCUGUUGCUCUGAUGGAAAAGUUAAACUUUAUAUGCCUGAUUCACCAAUUGAAUUGUAUAAUUUAUUUACUUCUAAAGAACCUGAAUGCAUGGAGUUUAAGAAAAUUUCACGUGGAUAUAAUAACCAUUUUGCAUUCACUUCAUUUGGUGUAAAGUGCGAUACAGACCUUUUUAGAGCAUAUAAAGGUAUUUACACAUUCAGAAUUCAGGGACAAGUAUAUCAUUAUGUAAAUCAACUUCUGCCGGAAAAUAAUCAGCCUUCUUAUAUGCAAUUAUAUUUUUAUGAUACGAAUAACGAAGUUGAAAAUCGUAUGAAAAUUUCAGAAAAUUUUGUUGAAUCUACUUUGAUCAUUUUGAUUAAAAUAUUGAAAAUAAAUCCGUAUAGUAGAUUCUUUAGGUCUUUAAGUAAUAUGACCAAUUUGCACGACCAUCGAAUACAAAUAAGAUGCGAUCCUAGACUUGAUCAAAGAGUCUUCAAUACUCCUUCAACAUCUCAAGUAGCCGCUGUAUAGGUUGAGGAUGAUGACAAUGCAAAUAUUCGUGUUCGUGAUAUUACUAUAUAUGGUCAUUCUGGUGAUUCACAUAAGGUUCACUAUUAUUAUGGUUGUUAUGAUCCUUUGCAAUACCCUUUACUUUUCCCAUUUGGAGAACCUGGUUGGCAUGAAGGUAUUCAGAGAUACAAAAAAACAUAUUUUGAAACUCAGAAUUUACCCGAUUGCGUAGCUUUUCUUAGCGCAGUAAAUUUUGCAACUGAAAUCAUUGCAAAAGAGGCUCAAGUAUUCAAUGGAAUGAGGAAACGAUCACAGGUUUCUUGCCGCGAGUACUAUUCUUACAAGUUACAAAUUAGGCCUUCUAGUAAGUCUGUGUUACUUCAUACUGGUAGACUUUUUCAACAAUAUGUUGUAGAUAUGUAUGUUAAAAUUGAAACUGCCAGAUUAGACUAUUUUCGUAGCAAUCAGAAACAAAUUCGUGCUGAACUUUAUCAAGGUAUUGUGGAUAGUGUUCAAAAUGGGGAAACAAGAGGGUCAAAAAUUGGAAAGAAGAUUGUUCAACCACAAACUUUC